GACUUCUCCAGUGCAGUAGUCCAAUUCUGAUCCCGUCUUUCCACAUACUGCUAUCACUAAAGGAAGUUAUUACCUACCAUUUACCAGACCACCAAGAUGAGUAAAAAGAGAAAGGCAAACAUUUCAGAAGAAGGAAACAGAGAGCUCAGCAUUUCCAAAGCAAAAAAGAUCAGUAAGAGGAAAACCCAACUGACAGAAAAGAGUGACCUAAAAAUGUCGGCACAAACUGUUCACACCAAUAAAUGUCUUUCAAAGGUUACUGCAGCGGGGAUAAAUCAAGAAUAUAAAGGAAAUACUGAAAGAGAACAUUUGGCAUUGAAUCUAGAUACAAGCUCUCUAGAAGAUGGUACAAAGGCGUCUUUUCAGAAGAAAGAUACUGUUUUUCUGCCUCCAUCUCAAGGAGAAAAGUUGGUACCAGUGUUUAAAAAGCCAACAAAGCCAUUGUCUGAAAGAUGUGACAGGACUUUUGGGAAAACUACAACAGUCUGGACAGAACAGCAUGUAGAUAGAAAUGUAUUUGACAUGACAGAAGGUGCAGUUCAGAAGACUGGUGCUUCAGAGGGACCACAUCCAACCCCUUUAUUGGAGACAAAAGUGGAAGAUCCUAAAGAUAAAGCAGUCCCUUGUGAGAAACCUAGUGAAAGGCUGAAUGUUCAAACGCAAGAUCAGAUUGGAAUUAAAAGGUUGAACAAUGAUGUUCUCGAGACAGGGUUACUAGAUUCCAGUCAAGGACUAGAGAGAGAAUCUAAUUUACAAACAAACAUCUCUGAAAAGAAAACACCAGAGAAACCUAAUUCCUUUUUUAUGUGUACACCAGAUAAUGAAAGUGUGAAUAAUCUUGAAAAGAGACAACUUUCUUUAAAGUCAUUUAUAUGUCCAUUUGUUGAUCAGAGGAAUUUUAUAUUGGCACAAGAAAGGAUAAUUGACUCUAGUAAAAACAUUCAGAAUGAAGAAGAGCAUCCGAGUCGUGUGGACAUGGGCACAGAACAAAAAGUCAUUCAGGCUAUCCUAGGAGCAGAUGGUAUAAAAGAAGCAAAUUGUUUACAAAAUGGAAGCAGGACAGAUGUGGGUUCUGUUGAAUGCAUGGCCAUUGGAUCACAAAAACAGAGCAACUUUCUAUGUACAAGUAGUGUAGCUAGAGAGGGAAAUUUUAAUAGCAGGGAAACAAACCAGUUCCUUCCCUACAAAAGUGAGAAACCUGAGGAAAAAAACAUUUACAAAAGCACUGAAAUUUUUGAACCUAGAAAUAGGAAACACACCUCCAUGGCUGGUGAAAUAGUAAUAGAUCAGCACAAGGUGCAGACAGAUAGUAAACCUGUAGUACAAAGUGGUGGAGACAGAACUGCAGAGCAAAACAGCUCUUGUGGAAGAGAGACAUUUGUUGGAAAGGAACACCAUGUUGGACAAGAUAUUUCUGGGAAAGAUUUACCAAAUCUUCAGUCUGUACAGAAUUACCUGGAAAAAGAAAUUGAUCUUUAUGAACAAAAUUGUAAACAGAUUAUUGCAACAAGCAAUCAGUUCUUUCCAGAACCUGCUGGGGAUAUUCAAUCUGAGAGCAGAAAAAAAUUGAUGAAAGGAGUUUCUUGUGCUGAAAAGAGAUGGGGGAUUAAAGAAACUGAAAUGAGAACAACACUGGGGAAAAACACCAUUGCCACACUUGAUCCCAACAUCCCAAUCCUGCCAACUCAACAACACAAGGAAAAUGGUGAAAAUUUGCUGUGUAGUAUAAAACAAUUAGAAUUCAACAUAUGUGACUUGAGACCCGGUUUGGAAGCAAUGUCAGAGAAAAAAAUGAUUAAACAAACAUUGGCGAACAUUCUUAUGACAGAAACAAAAACAAUACGAAGUGUUUCCUUUUUUACAAAUGACAGUUUCAAAGAUAGUAUAGUAACAUGUGAAGAAAAUAAGAACAAAUUGAAAAGCAGUCUGUCUUCUGAAGACAUUCUUCCAGUACUGGUGAGGGUGAGUGAUACUACUGAAGAAAGUAAAACCGAUUCAGAAGCCCAGAGCACUCUGCUUUCCUCCAAAGCAGACUCUAAUUUAAGUGCACCAAGUGUUCUUGAUACCGUGGCUCAAAUAUCAACAUCUUACACAGAUACCCUUGCUCUGGAUCUGGAAUUUCUGCCUGACAGCGAGCUGCAAGGCAUCUCUGAAAGUAAUAACCUUGAAUGUUCACCACACAAGGAUAAAAUAGAGCAACGUGCUACAGGAGAACAAAGUAGAACCAAAACAUCACACCCAAGUAUUGGUAUAAUCCAGUCAAACAGUGCAAGGGAUGAGGUGAUUUGUAAUCCAUCCAGACAAGAAGAUGCAACAGAUGUGGUUUGUGGCCUGAUUAAAGAACUCUCCAAUCUCAAUCGGCUGAUCAUGAAUGUGCACAGAGAUCUGGAUUCCUUCAAGAGAUUAAAGUUACGGAGAAACAGGCAGCCUGGGAAGCUUCUGUCUCACAAUGUGAACAAUAUUACAAAUACACGAUGUACAGGAGGGAAAAAGAGGGACCUGUAAUUUGUUUGCUUUUACAUUUGAAAGUGUUUGUUCUGUUCUGGUUCAUUAUGUUUAUUUGCCAAAUAUUAAGCUGUUUCUACAGAAUAAAAUGUCUUAAUCCUGAGUAUUUAUAUACUCA
rnacentral:lncRNA from 1 species